rnacentral:rRNA from 1 species
AUGAACCUACAAUCUGAGGCAUUUGCAAUCAAUCCACUGUUGCCAUUGUAUGAAGUUAGCACAGACAGAUCCACAUUUCUCUAUUUUUGUUUUGAUCUAUCAAUUCAGAAAUCCACUGUUUUGAUUUUUACACAGGACCUGAAUCGAUUUUGGCGCCAAAAACUGACCAUCCGUUCAGUAUCUGAGCAUGCGCAGAUGCGGUUACUGGUGCCCCCAUCCUCUCCCUCAGAUGAGGUUGUUGCCCAUGGCGUCACGGGCGUCCUCGCACAACCCCCAGCCCUCCGUCCCCAUCCCUCCCUCGAGCGUCCAUAG